ensembl:snoRNA
GGUCAAUGAUGAGCUGGCAUGUAUUCUGAAUCUGAAGUUGAUUAUUACUACUUUAGCUCUAGAAUUACUCUGAGACCUG